UCUAGGAAUCCUCUUGGAUGCAACACCAGAUUGGCACUGAUAAGACAUCCCAGUCUCAUGGACUGAGCAGCUACCUUUCCAUCAGGAGACAGUCAUUAUUGAACCACAGCCUUUAAGCCACUCUAGUACAUCCACUUCUAGAAAUGGAAUCAAGAAGAAUUAGAUCUAAAAUAUCGGUGGCCAAUGUCACUAAUUACCACAAAAAAAGAAAGGAAGGAAGGAAGGAAGAAGGAAGAAGGAAGGAGGAAGGAGGAAGGAAGGAAGGAAGGAAAGAAAGAAGGAAGCAAGCAAGCAAGCUUGGUCAAAGUCAGCACAGGACUGAAACAUCAUUAGCUGUCCUUCAGCUCUGAGAGGGAUUCCUGCAGGACUCAACAUUUACAGCUCAGGAAGCACAGAGCUUCCCCAGAGGGAACGUGACAGGAAAUUUCAAGUCUCUGAGGUUCUUGAGGGAAGGAGGUUGAUCCCCUUUCUGUCAUCCACUAGAACACAAUAAAACUGUCAGUCACACACCGUGAUAUAUACUG